rnacentral:lncRNA from 1 species
UUUUUCCAUUUUUCUUUCUCCUAUUCCCCUCUCCCAAACAAGUAUUUCUAUAUAUAUCUUUGGUUACAUGACAUUCUUUUCUCGCAUUAAUUAGAAAUAGUUCUUUUCCACUUUAGCUUGGUUGUUGUUGAUGCAUCAAAGUUCUUGACGCGUAAGUGGCAAGUUCUUAAAGCAUAAGAGUGACUUGCUAGCUUUUAAGGCCCGGUUUU